GAGAAAAUCUCACCCAAAACCACGCAUCUUCCCUAAAAUUUUCAAAAAUAUUUUCUCUCUCCUCUCACCAUACCUAACUACCUUCUCUUCUACGUCCUCUCAUCGGCCCCGGCGAACCACAACAAAACCACUCUGUCCUCUCACCGUUCUGGCGCACAAUCACCGGCUUCUCUGUUCCUUGAGCCCUUUAUCUUCUCUGCUCGUUGAUUAAUUUAGUAAAUUAGGUUUCGUGAUUUUGAAAUUGGGGGUUUGAUCUAAUACACACGGUAGCACACUACCACGCCGCACCAGCGACGGCGGCAAAACUACUUGGUCGACUUGGCCGCCGGAAACGUUGGUCGACGGAGCAAGGUUUGUUAUUUUAUUUUAGUUAUUCUUGUUCAUUGACUCUAUUUUGUGCCGAUUCUUCAAAUUUUUGCUAUUAAUUUCCUGAUUUUGACUUUAUAGUUCAAAUCCGAGCUAAUUUGAUUAUUUUCUUUGAAUUUUUGCCUUGAUUUUCGAUUUAUGGCUUCUCUGUAGUUUAUUUAUUUUAACCUAAUUUUAUCUCCAAAUUCUUGCCGGACUCCGAUUUUGGUUGGCAAUUACUGGUUUCAUAACUGUUUAAUUCGUGAUUUCGGUGUUUCACGAAAAUGUAGUUAUUGUAACCUAAUUUAUCUAAUAAAUGGUAUGUUUUCCCCUUACUUUCGAGUCUCAAUUCAAUUUCUUAUUCUAUUUUCCCUGAGUAUUUAUAGUUAACAAACAAACUAUAAAUGUAUAACAACUCCCUUUGUCUGAAAACAAUAGUCACAUUUACUAUUGGGCUCGAUCUGUCUACAAAAACACCUGUGUCAUUUCCUAACUAUAAAUUUAUUAUAACUAGAUAUGUGACAACUAAUUCCAGACAGUGGUAGUACUUUAUAGAAAAACUCGAGGAACCUAUGAAAAAACAAAAAAGGAAAGGAUGUUAUAUGAACCUGUCAUUAGAGCAACUAUUUUAAAAGUUCACUGAAACUUUACAAACUUCUGUAUAUUUACAUGAACAUAAAGUCCCCAACGAGUAAUAUUUAGUAUGGUUGCAAAAUUGUCAUCCUUGAUGAUAUUGUCAGCAUUUACUUUUGUGACCUGUAAGAAUAUGUAAUGAAAAGCAUACUACACAAAAGGAAGAUGAUAAAUCAAUCUAAUUACGUUUUCUUAUACAAAUACGGAGAGAAAAGAGUGUGAAAAAAUUAAUAAAACCUAAGUUCCUGCAAUUCCCAUGACAAGUCCAAUGUCUGCUUCAUGCAACGCCAGAGCAUUAUUAGUCCCAUCCUCGGUUACUGCCACCACUUCUCUGUUAUGCCUCAAUGGGGUCACUAGUGUAUGUCCAAUGGCAUUGAACGAGCAAUCACCUGCAAGUUCAUAAUGUACAUUCUGUAAUUUUCUCUUAUAGUCUUAGACUCUUAGUUAUUGUUUCAUUAUCUUGUUUGUCUCCCGUGUGAGUUUAAAAUCCAGGGGUGCAGAGUGUUUAUGAGUUUAAAAUCCCAGGGGUGUUUCAGUGGCUAUGAGUUUAAAAUCCCAAGAGUGUUUCAGUGCCUAUGUUAAUAGUUAUUGUUUCAUUAAAAUCCCAGGGGUGCAGAGUGGCUUUGAGUUUAAAAUCUAAGUACAUAGUGAACCCGGAGAAGGCCUAGAUUACAGGUUAGGAAAGCCAAUCAGUUUUAUUCAGGGGAGGGCAAAAGGGACGAGGGUUUGAUGAUUGAUGUGCAAUAUACCUGUAAAUUGGGGAUUAUAUCUUGCAUCUCCUUGGGGCACAUAUUGCGAAAAUAUGGGCCUUCAAUAGCUAUUCUGUCACUAGUUAAGAUCCCACAUUUUCUUGCGAUGGCUUAACCGAUGAUUCAAUAAUUCACAAAAAUAACAAAAAUUCCAUCAGUACUCAAGCAAAUCAAUGCGAAAAUUCAAAGGAACAAAAAAACCUAAAUUAAUGUUGAGAAUUGGCAAAGCGAUCGAACAAAGAAACAUUAUUAAAUCGUGAGAUGAUUCACUUGAACCAUCACAACCACGUCUACCUCUAGGUACCUUGAAUCGUAAAUUCUGCAUUAUACUCCAGCCGCCAUUGAUGAGUUCUCGAGAUUUGAUUUCGAGGAGAAAGAAAGCUCAAAAUUUUGGGAUAAGGGUGUUUGGAGUAAGAUGAUUCUUCCGUAUAGCAAAAGUGGUGCUUUCUGGUUUUAUUUUUUUCGGCUAUGUUGUUUCAUUUAGAUUCCCCGUUUCUAUUGUCGUGGGGUACUGAGUGGAGGGCGGGAAUUUUUAGGGAAUGUAUAUGUAACGGUUGGUAGGUUCACCGCUCUAUAUUCUUGUUGUAUUUGUUAGUUUAAUCAGUUUUGUAAAUUAUGGUAAAUACCAACAACGCCUAUCUAUAUAACGGUUGUGAAAGAAAACCGUUCUAUAUAAUCCUAUAAAGCGCCUAACAUAUUUAACUGUUCUGUAUAUAGCGUCAUAUUUUCCAGUUUUUGUUGUAGUGAUAUUAAUAUCACAUGGUAUGUGCUAUUCCAUUUUUUUCACUUUCAAGCUAUUUUCAAAUUCGUGUUUAUAGCACAGGGCAGCUUAUUGAGAAUUUGAAAUAUUCACUAGAAUGAUUUGGUUUAUCUUCUAAUAGUGUCAUGGACUAUGGUUAGUGUUGUUGUGUAAAGUAUAAAUAACUCUAGGCCUAUCACGUGUAUUUUGUUUCUAUUACAAACUAUUGUGAAGGUUGUUCCUGGAGGCUCACUCGUGUUCUUCCCAAGCUAUAAGCUAAUGGACAAGCUCUGUAAAAGGUGGAGUGAAAUAGGCCAAUGGUCUCGGAUGAAUGUGAAAAAAACAGUCUUUGUUGAGCCCAGAGGAGGAAGUCGGGAAGACUUCAAGGCUGUUUUGAAAGGUCAUUACAGUGCGUUUAUCAAGGCACAAAGCCAGCUCUUGGGAAAAGAAGAAAGGCUAAGAAAGUAAACUCCAAUUGUUCUACAACUUUUACUGAAGCUAACUCAGUCGAGGACUGUAAGGGGGGAGCUGCAUUUCUUGCUAUUUGCCGUGGAAAGGUGUGCAACUAAUGUUAUAGUUAUGUAUCAUUGUUCAAUCCGUAGUCGGACAUAUCUGACAUGUGAGAGUGACUUUUAUUUCCUUUUCGCCCUAACAGAAUCUCGAGUAUAGUUUGCUUAUUGAUCACUAUUCUGCCUAGGUAUUUAAGCAAUGUUCUUUUUAGAACCGUAUCUUCCUAUCUCUAGCUUCCCCUCUUCUCUCUUGGGUUUUCGAUGUCGUCGUUUAUGGGGUUUCCUCUAUCAUUCGAUCGGUGAUUACGGUGAAUGAUAACUCUCUGUCACUUUCUCUCUCAGGACAGCACGAUCAGUUGAUGUGUACUAUAAACAAAUAAUGGCAUUGUCAAUUAAGUAUUUUCCUCAAGUUCCUUCCAUUUAUUCUCAAGCGAUGAUUGACGAGACACGGGAUACUUAGGUUACAUAUUUUUUCAAGCAAAAACAAGUUAUCAAUGAUCAGAUUGAUGAAGAUGAAGAAAAUGAUAUUUUGGACGUUGAUCAUGAAUGAUCUUUGUAGCUAGUGCAUAUUGACACUUUCUAACUAAUGUUUUGCGAAUCUCAUAGCAAGUUAAUACAUUUGAAGUAUUCUUUUGGAUUUAAGCCUGUGAUUGGAGUGUGGAGAAUGUUAUAUAUUACAGAAGUUUUAUUUAAUUUAUUGUUUUGGAGAACAAGAAGGUACAUUGGUCAGUUUGGAGUAUUUUUAUGCAUAUAUAUAAUAUAGAGUUAAUGGAUUUUUACCAUUAAA